rnacentral:lncRNA from 10 species
GACGUCCUUGUUUCUUAUCUACAGUCAACCCCCUCCCCCAUGGACAGUCUCUCUCCGUUCCUUCUUCUCCUUCCCUUUCCUGACACAUCCCAGCGUCCAGCCAGCAAACCCUUGAGUCCAGGCUCGGGGCUCACCGGGUGCGGGAGGGAGUGGGAGUGAGACCCGCUGCCUCCUGGGGUGCUCCUCUAGGGGCGUAGGGGGACUGGGUGGGAGAGGAUCACUUUCAGUGGAAGGAGGAGACCAGUGAUUGCAUCCCAACUCUCCCAAGUGCUCCCUGCCUAGACCACCUCUCUCCGGGUCUGGGAUGCAAGAAGGUCUGGAGCUGGCCGUUACUAACUUUCUGUUGUCAAGACCCAGGGGUACGUGCGAAGGAUAGAGAAGAGCCCCCGAUUAACCGCUGUGUGGCCAGGAAGAGGGACUGGGAGUGGGGGUGGGUGCCCAGAGCUUGCACAGAUCCCCAUGUCAAGCGGACACCCGCCUGGCUCUUCAGUAAAAGAGUGAAGAAAGGCCGAGCACAGCGCGAAGGAAACCUGAGGUCUCCGGCAAGGCAGGAGAGGAGACCAAGUGACUCCCCGAAACCCACCCUCCAGCCCUUCGAGAGGCCCAGAGUCCAGCCGGAGCAAGCGUAACGCUACAGUCCCUGGCGCGCAUCCCUGCAGACCCCAGCUCGCCCCGGGGUCCCGCCGCCGCCGCCGCCACCGCCUGCGACUGCGAGGGUCCUGGCCCGAGGGUGCACCAGCACCUCCUUCCACUACCGGCCCUUUAUCUGACAAAAGAGCCGGAGCCCAUGACUCUCCGACUGUGAGCAGUGUGGCCUUUCCAAGCCUCCAGAACUUUCUCAUUACAACUUUUCCGGGGUCGCACUACUCCCUGGGCCGCGCGGGCUCGGGCACGAGGACCUGGCCAGGGCGCAGCGCCGGCACGAAGGCGCGCGCCGCAGAACUGUUUCCUCAGCCGCGUGCCGGGGAACUAACUGUUUCCUCAGCCGCGUCCAGCCUCGCAGCACUGCUCUUCUGCUUGCUACUCCAGCGAAGGGACAUGCCUGCUGGCCAGGACGCUUAGUGGGCCUCGUAACCUGGCGAGUGUGUGCCCGCGCGUGUCCACCCUGCCCCCGGCCGGUGCGCCCCGCGCGCCCAAACCCGGCCGGCGACCACUGCGCGCCGGGCGCUUCCAAACUGCUCCUGUCCAGAGGCAUCCCUCUUUCGGCUUUCUCCAUCCCGCGUCCGCUUCCGCACCCGAGAGCGACAAGCAAAAAAGAUUCAGUGCAACUCAAGGACUGGUUUGUUAUACUCAAAAUGUACCAGGAACAGGAACAAAAGUAUUUUAUAAAAUAAUUAAUUUUUAUGGGCUAUGAGUCCCAAAUGGUUAUGUAAUCAAAGUGGAAGCAGAAAAGCAUGGCUUAGAAAAUAAUUGGUCAUGUCAUGUCACGCUUAACACAUGUGCAGACUCUGCCCUCCAGGUUGCAGUGCGAUGGUGUGAUCAAUGCUCAUAGUAGCUUCAAACUCCCAGGAUCAAGUGAUCCUCCUAAAUAAACCUCCUGAGUAGCUGGGACUACAGCUUCCACCAUGGGAUGAUACAGCAUGAAGGCCCUCACCAGAUAUGCACCCCUUGAUUUUGGACUUCCCAGACUCCAGAACUUACAUUUUCAUGCUGCUGAUAAAGAUGUACCCAAGACUGAACAAUUUACAAAAGAAAGGUUUAAUUGGACUUACAGCUCCAUGUGACUGGAGAAGCCUCACAAUCAUGGUGGAAGACAAGGAGGAACAAGUAACAUCUUACAUGGAUGGCAGUAGGGAAAAAGAGAGAGAGCGAGCUUGUGCAGGGGAAUGCCUCUUUUUAGAACCAUCAGAUCUUAUCUCUGUGGUUACUCUGUGAAUUGGUCUGUACAGGCCCACUUGAGUACAGAUGAGCCAUUUCAGCUAAGCCUACAAGACACUUCCAGCUAAACCUAGCCCAAAUUGCCAACUUGCAGAAUUGUAAGCUAAAUAAAUGACUGUAAGCCGUUAAGUUCUGAGGUGUUUUUUAUGCAGGAAAAAGUAACUAUUACAACGUUGAAGCUAAAUCGAUACUUUUAUUGUGUAUAUAGGAUCUUACAUUAAGAUAUAGGUAAUUGGU